GAAACAAAUGACUUUUGACUACACAAUUGAAUAAUACAGGACCUAUCUUUCAGUCAGCCUGUAGCCUGAGGAAACCCAAAUGGUCAAGGAAUUGAUGAACAUGAAUUAUUGCAUUGAUAUUUAGCUGCAUAAUUUCAUGUUCAUCAGGACAGAGGAAGAAACAGCAGAUUCACACCAGUAAUGUACAUCACUAUUUGGGAUCUGUUGAAUCAAUGGACGUAUGGAUUCUAUCUUUUAAUUUGAAUCUUGCUGAUGCUAAUGCUGUUUGCUAGUACACAAAAUGAGGUGUUGAAACAGAAGAGUGGCUACAAGCCAGAUACCUACAGAAUCUCAUCAGCAAUGCCCAGCACAUGACUUUCAUCCCUGCUCUGAUAUCCAAGAUGUCAAGACGCGCUAGUGGCUUUGUCAUAUUUCGUAAAAUCAAAGACCAAGUAGAAUAUCUGUUGCUCCAAGCCUCCAAUGGGGCUCGUCACUGGACACCUCCCAAAGGACACGUGGAUCCGGGGGAGGAUGACCUGACGACUGCUCUGCGGGAGACGCAAGAGGAAGCCGGGUUCACACCAUCGCAGCUGAAAGUUGUUGAUGGGUUUGUGAAAGAAAUAUCGUACAUAGCAUGGGGCAACAACAAAGUAUCAGCGUACUAUUUGGCGGAGCUAAUUGAGAAAGAUGCGGCUGUGACCCUAUCCCAUGAACACACUGACUGGAGGUGGGCACCAAUAGAAGACGCGUGCAGGCUAGCAAGCUAUCCAGAGAUGCAAGACGUCCUUCAGCAAGCCCACAGUUUCCUGCGUGAACAAAAAUCCGCUCCAUAGGUUACGAGGGCCCUGGGCCCUAUAAUAGCUUACAUUUCAUGCCUAUUGGAAAAAUCGAACAUUUUGAAUGUGAAGGACUGGACCAAUGAUAGAGCUUGCGGUCAUGCUGUAACUUAUUUACUGUAUGACGACUGUGUUGUACCUAUGUCCCAUGAAAGUGAGGGGUAGUUGUGAUUUAUUUGCUGAUCACUUACAUUAUUGUUACGAUUGCCCUCCAGUUGAGAACGAAUAAAUGUCUCCGAAACAA